rnacentral:rRNA from 1 species
UACGUAGGGGGCUAGCGUUGUCCGGAAUCAUUGGGCGUAAAGAGCGUGUAGGCGGCUCGGUAAGUCCGCUGUGAAAGUCCAGGGCUCAACCCUGGAAUGCCAGUGGAAACUGUCGAGCUAGAGUCCGGAAGAGGCGAGUGGAAUUCCUGGUGUAGCGGUGAAAUGCGCAGAUAUCAGGAGGAACACCAAUGGCGAAGGCAGCUCGCUGGGACGGUACUGACGCUGAGACGUGAAAGCGUGGGGAGCAAACAGG